rnacentral:lncRNA from 1 species
UAAUCUCGCCCCACAACCUCGCCGCCUCACCGGAUGACCACACCAUCUCCGCCCUUCUCCUCCUCGGCCGCCGCCCCUCUCUUUUCCCACCACCAUCGCCGUCCCUCGUUACAUACUACCAGAUCUGUCCAUCCUGUUAAUCGUCGACGAGAUCCGCUUACCCACAAAGUUGGUAUGUUUUCCCAAAACGCAGAACGAUUUGUCUCCUUCCCUCUAUAUUUUUUCGGCAAAUAGAUAAGUUCACCGCGGUUCUCUUUCUCGUCGGCGGUUGUUGAUUAUAAGAUAUGCGAAAAUACUUCGUCGCUUUUGGUUUUUUGAUUUGCAGAUUUUUUUUUAUAUAAAUCCUUCUGAUUUCAAACAUGUUUUGGUUUUGAAAUUCGAUAAUGUCUGAUUUCAAACAUGUUUUGGUUUUGAAAUUUGAUAAUUUUUAGUAAGGAAUACAAUACGAAUUAAUAAGGUGAAGCACUAAAUAUGAUCGAAAAUUCCAUAAUUUCCAAAAAUAUUUUCAAAUUUUGGAUUUUUUUUUCUGAAAAUUUAGAAUUAUAAUUUAUUUAUUGUAUUUUUUAGCUGCAAUUGGCUAUUGUUUGGCGGCUAUUUUGCUGCUGUUCUUUGCUGCUAUUUUUUGCUGCUGUUUUUUGUUGCUGUUCUUUGCUGCUAUUUUUUGCUGCAGUUUUCUUUUGGCUUUGCUGCUGUUUGGCUCCUAAUUUGUUCUUGUUUUGCUGCUAUUUAAGAUGUUGGUUUGCUGCUGUUUUUGUUGCUGUCAUUUUUUCUCUAUAUCCAUAAAUAAAUUCUAUAUGAUGGUUAACAAAAUAGAAGUGACAACUAGUCAAAUUGUUGAAUGAGCUAUUACAUAUAUGAGAUUUUCAAUAUACUUUUGAGGCUCCUUCAUGUUUUCGGUCUUCAGCUGGAGUUUUCUAAACUUUAGUAAAAAAAUUUGAAAGAUGAGCGAAUGAGUUGAAUCAAAUAAUAAUUACAUUACCACCCUUAGGGAGCCCUUUUUAUUAUUAUGUUAUACACCUACCAAUUUUUAAAAUAUUGCUUCCUGCACGCAUUAUUUCCUCCCAUUUUCCUGUAGUUAUAAAAUUAGCCUUAACAUUUCCGGAUAAUUACAUUUCCACCUCUGAUCAGCCCUUUUGUUAUUAUAUUAUCCCCCAAUAAUUUUUAAAAUAUUGCUUGUUGCGCCCAUUCUUUCGUCCCAUUUUCCUUUAGUUAUAAAAUCAUCCGUAAAUUUUCGGGUAAUUACAUUUCCACCAUUGAUAAGCCCUUUUUAUUAUUAUAUUAUCCCCGAGUAUUUUUUAAAAUAUCCUUGUUGCACCCAUUCUUUCCUCCCAUUUUACUUUAAUUAUAAAAUCAGCCCUAACAUUUUCGAAUAAUUUCAUUACCACCCCUUGCAAGUCCUUUUUAUUAUUAUAUUAUACAGCUGUCAAUUUUUAAAAUAUUGCUUGCUGCACCCAUUCUUCUCUCCCAUUUUCUUUUAAUUAUAAAAUCAGCCCUAAUAUUUUCAAAUAAUUACAUUUCCACCCCGUGCAAGCCAUUUUUAUUAUGAUAUUGUACACCUGUCAAUUUUUAAAAUAUUUCUUGUUGCACCCAUUCUUUCCUCCCAUUUUCCUUUAUUUAAAAAAUCAGCGCUAACAUUUUCAGAUAAUUACAUUACCACCCCUUGCAAGCCUUUUUAUUAUUAUGUUAUACACCUAUCAAUUUUUCAAAUAUUGCUUGCAGCACCCAUGCUUUCCUCCAAUUUUCCUCUAAUUAUAAAAUCAGCCCUUACAUUUUUGGAUAAUUACAUUUCCACCCCUGAUGAGCCUUUUUUAUUAUUAUAUUAUACAUCAGCCAAUUUUUAAAAUAUUGCUUGAUGCACACAUUCUUUCCUCCCAUUUUCCAUUAAUUAUAAAAUCAGCCCUAACAUUUUCGGGUAAUUUUCCACCCCAAUUCCAAAAAAAAAAAAAAAAAAUCAAACACACACACACACAAAAAAAAAAAAUCAAUGUGCCACAUCAUCUCGUAUGAACAAAAAGAUUAACGAUUGCUAACUGUAGGGGUUGUUUUGUCACAUUUGAUAGUAACGGGGGCAAAUGCCACAGUAGCUAUAGUACAGAGUGCAAAAUGUAUUUAACCCUAAAAAUUAUGACUAAUUACUAAAUAGGGAAAAUUACAGUUUAUGUCCCUAAACUUUACCACUAAAACGAUUUAUGUCCUCAAACAUUUCAAUCCACAAAAUAUGUCCUCAAACUUGCAACUUUUGAUCACUUUAUGUUCUGCCGUUAACGUCGGCAGCUAACUUCGACGGAAAUAGCACGCGUGGCUCACGUGCCGUCUAUGUGGCCGUUAAAUGUCGAGUUGUACAACACCCAGUGCCUACUUGGUCGACGAAACGUGAUGUGGAGCGACACGUCAUUCUCCUCCUCUAUUUCUAUUCUAAAAUCCCUAAUUCUCCAUAUCCCCAAUGAACCCGUAAAUCCAAUCCCUAAAACCCCAUUUCGAAUCCUUCAAUUAAGGUGAAAUUCGAAAAUAGCAGAAUCGUCUGUGAAUCCAUGGCCAUUUUUCGUGGUGUUUUACCAGCAAAAUAGCCCAAUAAACAAAUGCCGAAUGUUUCCUCGAUUUCACUUUCAUCUUCGGGCUGAAAUAUCAUGUCUUCUUCCACUUUGUUGGGGAAGUCGGGGAGCUGGAAUCGGUUCUUGGGCACUCUAUUCUUGGCGAAAAAAGAAUUAUAUGCAGCUUUGACAGGUGCUGCAUGUUUUUUUUUCCGGAAUUGGUUCAGACAUUUUGUCGAAGACCUUCUGGGCAGGUUCUGAAUCUGCUGAGUUGGGUAGAAUUUGUGCCAUCUUCACCAUCCUCGUGCUCGCUUCAUUGAGACCACAAGGGGCACAAGCAUUAGCAUGCAAAGAAUCACACGACCCCAACGUUGUAGAGACGGAGUUGGGAGAAGAAUCAAAGCUUCCUCUAAAAUUUUUUUCAAAACCAGAAGAAGAGUCGCGUUUACCUUCUUCCUCUCGAUUGCAGGCAUGUGUUUGCACAUGAAUCUGCUGUUCUUUGAGAAGGGAAAAACUCAUCAAAGUGUGGGAAAAUUAGGGUGUAUGGGAAUGAAACGUGAUUUGGGAUUUGCGAUUUGGGGGAGUGAGUUAGAGGAAAUUAGUAUAUUCUUGUGCCACGUCAACAUUUCAUAUUCAAUAUAUUAUUCCACGUCACAUUUAAGGGCCACAUAGAUGUCACGUCAGCCACGCGCGCUAUUUCCGUCGAAGUUAGCUGCCGAUGUUAAUGGCAGAACAUAAAGUGAUCAAAAGUGGCGAGUUUGAGGACAUAUUUCGUGGAUUGAAAUGUUUGAGGACAUAAAUCGUUUUAGUGGUAAAGUUUAGGGACAUAAACUGUAAUUUUCCGUUACUAAAUAUUAUAUAGUCAAAAUUAUGUGCAUGGCGCGGCAGAAUCUGGAUCGGAACUAGAAACAACAGAAGCAUUUGGGUUAGGCUUUGGAUCAGGAGGAAAGGGUGUUGCCACUCUAAUCCUCCUCGCUGCGGCCAUGCGUCGAUACCGUCAUAUACUCCUCCGCUUAUCACCGUCUGCUGCAAAAAGACGAGUGAUAGAAAUGGUUUAGAGAAAGGGGAGACGUGGAAGAAAAAAAAAUGCGACAGAGAGAAAAGGAGAGAAAUUAGAAAAUUGAUAGAAAUAAAGGAGAAACAUGAUUUUAUUGUAUAGUCUAAAAAUACCAUGAUUAAAAAAAAAUUAAAAAACAAAAUCAACACCGGAGACCCGACGCUCAGCGGUGGUUAACCUACAGGAAAAAAAUUCAAAAAUAAAAAAUAAAAAAAGUCAACGCCGGUCUCCGGCGGUAAACGGUGGCUGAUCGGCGGUCUCCGGUGGUGGCGGGUCUAAAUUAAAAUUAUGGUCAAAAUUGGUUAGUUGGUGAAAUUGGGCUAAAUUAUGGUAGAAAUCAUGAAAUUGGAGUUGAAUUGGGUUUCAAAGAAUUGAGGGUAAUUUUGGUAUAUAUAAAAGGGUUUUCCUUAUUUGCAAAUAAGUUUGAAUGAACUGGAAAUAUUUGAAAGACAAAAAAGUUGGAUGUCUCUUUUUUAAUUAAGUUCCCUUGUCAUAGGGCUUUUGAGAUUAACCCAUAUUUUUUUUAAGGGCAAAUGACAAAAGGAAACAUGACAAGGGACUUAAAUGUACAUUGGUCCAAAAAAAUAAAAACAUUCUUUUAAAUAACCCCAUCUCCAUGUCUUUAGUCUAAUAAACCCUCCAUAAUAUAAUUUUUAUCAAUUCCAUCAUUGGUCCUAAUUUUCUUUCCGGUCAGAUUCCGGCAUUAACCGGGCGGUUUUCCGGCAUUAACCGGGCGGUUUUCCGGCGUUGACUUUUUUUUUGAAAACUUUUUUUUUCUGAAUUUUUUUUUACCGGCUGGUCUACAGCAUAUCUCCGACGUUGACUUUUUUUUUUUUGAUUUUUUUUCCUUAAAAUUUGUUUUCUCUUCGAAAAAAAUAUUUUAAUUAAUAUUAUUGUCUUGGCUGCUAAAUUACUCUCUCAAAUAGUAAUAUUACUGUUUGGGACAGUAAUAUUAUUAAUAUUUUUUCCUGAACAGUAAUAUUACUAAUAAUACUGUCCCAAACAGUAAUAUUAUUGCAUGAGUCAAUAAUAUUAUUGUCAGAGACAGCAAAAAUACAGGUCAAGACGAUAAAAUUUAUUAACACAGUAAUAUUACUGUUGGAGACAGUAAUUUGGCAGUCAAGACAGUAAUAUUAAUUAAAAUCAUUUUUUCUAAGAAAAAACAAGUUCAAAAAAAACUAAAAAACAAGUCAAUUAACAAUUAAAUUACUGUCUCCAACCAGACACGACCAUGAGCCGAUUUUGGGCCCAGAACCGGCCCGAACCGUUGACCGGUGAACCGCCCCGUCGUCCCCAGUUCUAUGAAUUGGUGAACCGUGAACCGUCGGGCCGGCCCGGCGGUUCACCUAGAUUUAAAAAAAAAAAAAAAAAAGCAAAUAAGGCCGGUGAACCGGCCGUUAUUUGCUAUUUUUUUAAUCCCCCCCCCCCCCCAUUUUUUCUUAUAUAUACCCUCACACCCCAUUUUUUUCCUAUAAAAUUAAGUUAAAGUCAUUUUAUUUAUUUUCUUUUGUUUUUUUCAUAUUAAAAGUAAUUAUUUUAAUUUAUUUAUCCAUUAAGUAUUUUUUUUUAAAUAUAUAUAUGAAUAUAAAUUUCCGGGCCGACCUAGAACAAGCCCGGAUAGGCCCGGAACCGGAGUGACCGGCGGGCCGACCCGGCCCGCCGAACCGUGCGUAGUACGGGCCGGUUCCGAUUCCGGAAAAAGUGAACCGCGAACCGGAGUGAACCGACCCGGACCGCACCAUGGCCGUUUCUAUCUCCGACAGUUAAAUAACUGCUUGAGACAGUAAUUUAACAGCCAAGACAGUAAUAUAAAUCAAAAUAUUUUUUUUAAGAAAAAAAAUGUCAAUUAACAGUUAAAUUACUGUCUCCGACAGUUAAAUAACUGCUGGAGAUAGUAAUUUAACAGCCAAGACAAUAAUAUUAAGUAAAAUAUUUUUUAAAGAAAAAACAAAAUUAAGCGCCGGAGACCCAGCGGUCAACAGCGGUUGACCUACCGGAAAAAAAAAAAUUCAGGAAAAAAAAGUUUUCAUAAAAAAGAAAAAGGUCAACGCCGGAGACCGCGUGGCGGGUGAAAAUUGGUUUCAAAAUUGAAAUUAUGGUCAAAAUUGGUUAAUUGGUUUAAUUGGGCUAAUUUCGGGUGUAAAUCAAGAAAUUGGAGUUAAAUUGGUUUUCAAUGAAUUGGGGGUAAUUUUGGUAUAUAUAAAAGGGUUUUCCUUAUUUGCAAAUAAGUUUGAACGGACUGAAAAUAUUUGAAAGACAAAAAAGUUGGAUGUCCCAUUUUUAAUUAAGUGCCUUUGUCAUGGACCUUUUUGAGAUUAACCCUUUUUUUUAAAAUACUGUUUUACACUUUUUACUAGUACGAAGAAAGAAACACACAAAAAGAAAUAUUAAUAUACAGUACGUAAAGAAGUCUCUUAGUUUGGAGUUUUUUUCAACAGAGAAAAUUUGACAAAUACUCUCUCAUCACAAAAGUUCAAUUACAAUCAGCCCAAUAUUUUUUCGCAUUUUUAAGAUAAAUUUAAAACGUCUUUUAUUAAUAAAAAUUAAAUAAGUAUCACAAUUAUACCCUUACCGAAUUAUAACGUAUCUUAGGGUUGAACAUAAAUUAUACGUAAUAUUUGUUCCUUUAAUAUCACCUUCUCAAUCAUAUCUACAAAUCUCGCUCCUUGAUUUUGGAAUACCGUUUCACUGUAGUGGGAAUUAUAAUUCUCGAAACUCUUCUCAAUUUACCGAGCAUAAAAAAGGCUUUUCAAUUCCAAUACAUGUAUCAAUUGUAAGUUGGUAUAAUUGUUUUCAUUUUUCCUUUUUUUAAGUUAAGUGGGUAAACCAGAUUUGUUUGAACUCUGGUUUUUGCAUGUGCGAUUUGGACUGUGAGUGGUUUUUAUAACUAAAUAUAUUGUUUUAGUAUUAUUUAAUUAUAAAACAUAUGUGUUCUAUUAUACAGUGGUUUAUUGUAUGUGGUAUUUUUGUGUUUGAAAUUAGUGAGACUCAUGAGCAGUAGGUGUGACAGGAUAAUAUGGUUUAAGGUGGGAGCGAGAUUCGUAAGCAAUGUUUUUGGAGGAGAUUGCGGAGUAUAUCAACAGGGGCAAGAUUUGUAUAUAUUAUCAUUUUUUAUUUUUUUUUUUUGGUUUUCCGUUGCAGUAAAUUGACAUUUUUAGUAUUUUGGGUUGAUUGAGUUUAUAAAAAAUAUCAAUUAAAAAAAUGAAUUUAUC